rnacentral:rRNA from 1 species
UUAUGACCUGGGCUACACACGUGCUACAAUGGUUGGUACAACGAGUUGCGAGUCGGUGACGGCAAGCUAAUCUCUUAAAGCCAAUCUCAGUUCGGAUUGUAGGCUGCAACUCGCCUACAUGAAGUCGGAAUCGCUAGUAAUCGCGGAUCAGCACGCCGCGGUGAAUACGUUCCCGGGCCUUGUACACACCGCCCGUCACACCACGAGAGUUUGUAACACCCGAAGUCGGUGAGGUAACCUUUUGGAGCCAGCCGCCUAAGGUGGGAUAGAUGAUUGGGGUGAAGUCGUAAAGC